rnacentral:rRNA from 1 species
UACGAAGGGGGCUAGCGUUGCUCGGAAUUACUGGGCGUAAAGCGUACGUAGGCGGCUUCUUAAGUCGGUGGUGAAAUCCUGGAGCUCAACUCCAGAACUGCCUUCGAUACUGGGAGCUCGAGUCCGGGAGAGGUGAGUGGAACUGCGAGUGUAGAGGUGAAAUUCGUAGAUAUUCGCAAGAACACCAGUGGCGAAGGCGGCUCACUGGCCCGGUACUGACGCUGAGGUGCGAAAGCGUGGGGAGCAAACAGG